rnacentral:tRNA from 2 species
GCACCCGUAGCUCAGCUGGAUAGAGCGCUGCCCUCCGAAGGCAGAGGUCGCACGUUCGAAUCGUGCCGGGUGCG